CUUUUUCUUCCUUCUUUCUCUUUCUCUCUUCUCUUCUCUUCUCUGCUUCUUUUGUUCUCCGUUCGAGUGAGGAUUUGAGAAACCAUUUUAGUGAUUGUGAUAUCGAAUAAAGAGGGGAAGGAUUAUGUAGUAACUGUUGGUGGUGGUGUUCGAUGAAAGUUUGAAGAAGAUUAAAAGAAAGAUGAAUUGGGGAGAAGCAGAACUAGGGUUUCUCAGAGAAUUAAAUUAAAGUUCGAAUUAAUGAUGUAUAAGAAGAAUUAAAGACUAGGUUUAGAUGACUGACGAAAGGGUUGAAGUUAAUUAGGGUUUAUGGAGUUGUUCAUGAAGAAUUGUAGAAUUAGGGUUUCAUAAGAACAACCAAGGAAGCUGUAGAUGAUGAAAUUGAUAAUUUAGAAGAUUGAUUUGAGAUGGGUUUUAACAGUUUGAUCGAAUUAGGGUUCGGAUGAAGAGUAAUUAGAAAUUGAAGAAGUCAGGGUUCUGAAGCUGAGGGCAGUUGAAGCUCAUGACUGAAGCAGUUAACAGAGUGAGGGUUUGAUUGUGUUAGUAAGAAGGUGUUGAAGCUAUCGCUGGUGUUGAUUCAAGACUCGGGAGAAAAGGGUAAGUUGAACUUAAGAUUGCAGAGUUGGUUUAUUAUUAAGUUAUAUGUAUUUGAGUUUGAGUUUGGAAUUCAUUGCUUGGUUCUGAUGUAUAUGAUUGUGGUGAUAACUUAUACAUGGUUUAAGCGGUCUCAUAAUGAAUUGAUGAGAUGGAUUAGAUGUGGUGGUGAUGAUGUUGAAGUUACAUGGGAGGUUACAUGUGGAGGUUAGUAUGAUGAAUAUGUAGUUGGGGUUGAAUGCCAAGAAGGUGUAGUUAGAGAUGAAAUUGGUAUAGUGAUGAAAUGGGGUGAAGUUGCAGUUGUGGCUUAGUUAGAGAUGUGUUGAGUUACAUGGAGUUUUUGAAGGGUUGGAGUAAGUUACAGUUGUAACUAGUUGAACUGGUCUUGAGGAUGAUGAGUCCAAUGAAGGGAUUAGGCUGUUGUUGUUAUUGAAGAUGAGAUGAGGAGUUGUGUUGUUGCAUUCACUGAGCGAAUGUUACAGAUUGCAGAUGUAAGGGACUGGACAAGGGAAGGGUAGUUGUAGAUGAAGUUUGGGUGUUGUUUGAGUUGAAGCAUUCUGGAUGUUGCAGCUACUGCACUUGUAGGUAAGCUGGACUUGUAUUUGCAGUUGAAUUAUGAAGUUCUGCUGAAUUGAAUAUGCUAAUGUUGAAAUGGAGAAGUAAUAUUACAUUUAGUAUUUACAAGUGGUAAUGGUUUAGGAGGGUUUAAGGUUUUGAAAAUGUUAAUGAAGUUGCAAUUGCAGAUAUGAAGAUGUUUGUGGUAAAAGCUAUUACAACUGAAUUGUAGACAGUGUUUGAGUAUUGCUUGGAACUGCUAUUGCAGUUAGUCUCUAUUAACAAUGAUCGGUUCAAAGGAUAAACCAGUGGAUCGUGGAUCUCGAGGUAGGCGUGGCUUGUCAUCAAAAGAGUUUCAGAGACAGAUCAGAGUUGCGCAGCGAAAGCUUCAAGUGUUGAUUUUAUUAGUUGGUUAACUUCUGUUAUGUUUGUUAUGUUGUAAAUUUUAUUUAUAAACCAUAUGACUAUUAUUUAUGUAUCAUUUGAGAGAAGCGUUUGUAUAUAAUAUUUAUGUAUCAUUUGAGAGAAGCGUUUGUAUAAUAUA